UUAAAAUACGCAACAUUAGGACGCGGUGAGUUUCAGAAAGUGUCCUUGUCUCCUGUAUCUGCCCCUUAUGAAUAAGAGUGCAGGUACAAGUAUGGGGUGAUUGGGAGAAACGUGAACUUAUAGCUCCUGAAACAGACACUAUAUUGUGGCAAAUAAGAGAAUGUUCUGCAAAUUAUCUCAGGGAUCGCUUAGAUUUCAAGACACACUAUGAAGACAAGACGGCUAGUGGUCUUUGACCCUCAGAAUCACCUCAGAGAGUUGCUCGUGAAGAAAAAACACAAUUUAUUCCUCUCCUAAAUGUGGAAAAUACUACAAAAUACCUGUCUGGAGAGAACAUUCUCAGAGUCUUGUCAUUCUCCGUUCAGGUUGAUUUGCGUGAGAGGCAUUUUUUUUGUCAACAUUUUGGACCAGAAUAAUUUUGCUAUGCUUGCUUACCAUGAAAUCUCCAAUUUGAGAUAAAAUCAGAUUUAAAAAAA